rnacentral:rRNA from 1 species
UACGGGGGGUGCAAGCGUUAAUCGGAAUUACUGGGCGUAAAGGGUGCGUAGGUGGUUGAUUAAGUUAUCUGUAAAAUCCCUGGGCUUAACCUGGGCAUGUCAGAUAAGACUGGUUGACUCGAGUAUGGGAGAGGGUAGUGGAAUUUCCGGUGUAGCGGUGAAAUGCGUAGAGAUCGGAAGGAACACCAGUGGCGAAGGCGGCUACCUGGCCUAAUACUGACACUGAGGCACGAAAGCGUGGGGAGCAAACAGG